AGAUCUAGAGUUGUUCUGUGUUUCGCUUACAACGAGGCUAUUAUAGAUCUU
rnacentral:tRNA from 1 species